UACGGGGGGGCAAGCGUUGUUCGGAAUUACUGGGCGUAAAGGGCUCGUAGGUGGCCAACUAAGUCAGACGUGAAAUCCCUCGGCUUAACCGAGGAACUGCCUUUGAUACUGGCGAUCUCGAGUCCGGGAGAGGUGAGUGGAACUGCGAGUGUAGAGGUGAAAUUCGUAGAUAUUCGCAAGAACACCAGUGGCGAAGGCGGCUCACUGGCCCGGUACUGACGCUGAGGUGCGAAAGCGUGGGGAGCAAACAGG
rnacentral:rRNA from 1 species